UACGGGGGGGGGCAAGCGUUGUUCGGAAUUACUGGGCGUAAAGGGCUCGUAGGCGGCCAACUAAGUCAGACGUGAAAUCCCUCGGCUUAACCGGGGACUGCGUCUGAUACUGGAUGGCGUAGAGGUUGGGAGAGGGAUGCGGAAUUCCAGGUGUAGCGGUGAAAUGCGUAGAUAUCAGGAAGAACACCGGUGGCGAAGGCGCUCUGCUAGGCCGCAACUGACACUGAGGGACGAAAGCUAGGGGAGCGAAUGGG
rnacentral:rRNA from 1 species